CCGGCGACGGGUGAGUAACACGUAUCCAACCUGCCGUCUACUCUUGGACAGCCUUCUGAAAGGAAGAUUAAUACAAGAUGGCAUCAUGAGUCCGCAUGUUCACAUGAUUAAAGGUAUUCCGGUAGACGAUGGGGAUGCGUUCCAUUAGAUAGUAGGCGGGGUAACGGCCCACCUAGUCUUCGAUGGAUAGGGGUUCUGAGAGGAAGGUCCCCCACAUUGGAACUGAGACACGGUCCAA
rnacentral:rRNA from 1 species